rnacentral:rRNA from 1 species
UACGUAGGGUGCGAGCGUUAAUCGGAAUUACUGGGCGUAAAGGGUGCGCAGGCGGUUUCUUAAGCCAGACGUGAAAUCCCCGGGCUUAACCUGGGAACUGCGUUUGGAACUGGGAGACUUGAGUACGGCAGAGGGAGGUGGAAUUCCACGUGUAGCAGUGAAAUGCGUAGAGAUGUGGAGGAACACCGAUGGCGAGGGCAGCCUCCUGGGCCUGUACUGACGCUCAUGCACGAAAGCGUGGGGAGCAAACAGG